UCAUUUUUAGUUGCCUUAUGGAACUCUAAAAAGACUGCCGGUUAUAAACCGGAGGAAGGCGGGGAUGACGUCAAGUCAGCAUGCCCCUUACACCCUGGGCUACACACGUGCUACAAUGGGCGAGACAAUGAGAUGCAAGUCUGCGAAGAUUAGCUAAUCUAUAAACUCGUUCUAAGUUCGGAUUGUAGGCUGCAACUCGCCUGCAUGAAGUUGGAAUCGCUAGUAAUCGCUGGUCAGCUAUACAGCGGUGAAUUCGUUCCCGGGCCUU
rnacentral:rRNA from 1 species